AACGUAGGAGACAAACGUUAUCCGGAUUUACUGGGCGUAAAGGGCGCGUAGGCGGCAAUUCAAGUCAUCUGUGAAAUCUCCGGGCUUAACUCGGAACGGUCAGAUGAUACUGCUUUGCUAGAGUGCGGAAGGGCAAUCGGAAUUCUUGGUGUAGCGGUGAAAUGCGUAGAUAUCAGGAGGAACACCGGUGGCGAAGGCGGGUCUCUGGGCCGUAACUGACGCUGGAGGAGCGAAAGCCGUGGGGAGCGAACAGG
rnacentral:rRNA from 1 species